GAUGAACGCUAGCGGCAGGCUUAACACAUGCAAGUCGAGGGGCAGCGCGGGUAGCAAUACCUGGCGGCGACCGGCAAACGGGUGCGGAACACGUACAGAACCUACCUCUAUCUGGGGCAUAGCCCGAAGAAAUUCGGAUUAACUCCCCAUAAUAUAGAAGAGUGGCAUCACUAGACUAUUAAAAUUUAUUGGAUAAAGAUGGCUGUGCGUCCCAUUAGCUAGUUGGAGGGUAACGGCCUACCAAGGCGACGAUGGGUAGCUGGUGCGAGAGCACGACCAGCCACACGGGCACUGAGACACGGGCCCGACUCCUACGGGAGGCAGCAGUGAGGAAUAUUGGUCAAUGGACGCAAGUCUGAACCAGCCAUGCCGCGUGAAGGAUGAAGGCCUUCUGGGUUGUAAACUUCUUUUACCUGGGAAGAAACCUACC
rnacentral:rRNA from 1 species